GGUGGCUGGUGGGAGUGUGUUUUCCUGAACACUGGUGACGGCACAAAAUACCCGGUGCAGCUGGGAGAGGCUCGUGUGUGUGGAUUGAGGAAUCCAGCCAUUAUCAGGUUAAGAUCAUCCCACUUACCAACUGGAAGUGUGGAACUGAGAGCUGUUGUAGUGGUCUUACCAGGGCUGUCUUCUUCGGGUGUCUUACCAGGGCUGUCUUGCCUGGACUGUUUUACCAGGCUGCUGUUUUAUUAGGCUGAGCUACCUUUUGAUUGCUUGCUGCUUUGCUUGGCUGCAUCAGCAUGGGAUGCAUGUCCUGGCCAUACCGUGCUAUAGCUAAUGGCUUGCUGGAUUAGCCAAGGAGCUAAAUGCUAGCGCAUUUGUGGACUGUGUGCUUUAUUUAUAUACAUGUAUGUGUUGGUGUGUUUGUUUCAGUGCUUCACACUGUGAAGGUCUGCUGAGAGGUGGCCUGAGAAACUGCUGAUAUACAUAUGUUUAUCUGAGGAGUUUGGAGAUCUGGAUGCUACCCAACAGCUAGCGGAAUGUUAAGAGGUCAUGUGUUCAUUUUAUGAGGUGUAUUGAAUGGAAUUUGCUGUUUUUAUUCCUGUUGUACUUUCUUUUGUUUGUCACUGUCUUUUUGUGAUUGUGUGUGUGUGUGUGCGUAAAUUGAUUUGACCAUACUGUGGUUUGCUUCUUCUCCAGGUGUCUGGGAGACCGGUUCUAGUGUGAGGGACAAGUUCCUCUCUGCUUGGUGGUGGUUCCUUCGGUGUGCAGCAGUUGACAGGUGGGAUUGUGGUGUCGUAUGAGUGCAUGUGUGUUUGCUGUGGAUAGAUCAUUAGAGUAAGGUCCCUAGCCCUGGAGUCCAAGCAUUCUGGUGUUAUAUUUUUGUGUGGGGUUUGAUGCAAUUUUAAGAGCUCUUAAUAAACGGUGUGUAUUAUAUCUGUCUCAUGUCCUGACUCAGCUGUACACGAACCUGUGUGCCUUGUGCAUUUCUUUAAAGGGUUAUCCCUGGUAAUUGAGCCCCCGGGGUGGCGUAGUCGGUUUCUACUAGUUACAUUUUAUUGUUAGUCUUCCAUGUCCUAAAUGUUCUCGAGUGUCGGGGAAAAAGUUGAACCGCACCCGAAUGCCACAAUCUGGCGUAGUCGGCAGGAUACAGCUUUUGUUUAAUGGACCGAGACAUUGGUAAAAUGUUUUAUUGCAUUGUGGUGCCUGUUGGUGCAGAAUUUUGUUGCAAUCCAGGAGGCUUUCUUUUCCAGGAAGUAACAAGAUGGGGAAACCUUGUUGGAAUUUUUACUGGGUUUGAUUAACCUUCUGGAGAAAGCGAGAAGUCAGGCACCCCAUGCUAUUCUUAAUGCUGAUAUUGUUUUAUGUGAUCAAUUUGUUGAAUGUAUUUGAUAGUACACUUCGUCAGGAGUUAAAGCAGCUGAUUCGAAGACAGCCCACUGCAACAUUGCUGGAGGUUUGGGGCAAGGCUAUUCGUUGGGAGUGUGAGGGAACGGGGUAGGAGUCAAUCUGUACCGUUGGUAAGUUGAAUUCAGUAUGGGGUCCAGGGAGGGACUGAUGUGAGUCAUGGGGAGCAGUCUUCAGAAAUGCGUGAACUGCGAGAGUUAUUGCGUCGGUAGCAAGGGCAAAUCGAUCAGCUUACUUAAGCAGUGUCUCAAAGUAAGUAUUUUAGUGAUCGAUCUCCCCGUUUAUCAUCUACAAUUUUUCGGUGUCAACAACCAGGACAUAUGGCUCGAAAUUGUGUAUGGGGAAAAUCUCCCCGCAAACCAUCAUUUCCAACUCUGGUAAAUAUAGUUCCGUCUCUGCCCCUAAACCGUUGGGAAACUAGUCCCCACUGGGCUGUGGAGUCAUAGUCCAGUAGGGAAUAUAAAAAUCGUAAGGAUGCCUUUCCUUUGCCUCGGAUUGAGGAGACGUUGGACUCCCUGGCAGGUGCCCAGUGGUUCUCUACAUUAGAUCUGACUAGCGGCUAUAACAAAGUCCUAGGUUCGGAAGUGGAUCAUUCCAAGACUGCUUGGGACUAGUUUGCCUAUGCAUCGCCGGAAAUUUAUCUGAUAACUGAGAAAGAUUAAAUGAAAGCAAGCCACAGUUUCUGUGUCAUCCUUUUUGUUCUCCACUUUUCAGGUGGGUAAUAUGUUUGAAACUUAACAGUUGUUAUGGCUUUGUGAACAUUCAGAGACACUUUUGGUGUUAGUGUGAAGUUAUUUCCACAAGGCUGGAUAAAUGCUAAUAAAAUAAAUGCUAAUGUAGCACGGCACCGUGCCAAUGUUGUUUAGCAAAGGUAACGCUGCCGCGCUAGUGUGGGCAAGUAGUUCUUUAUGUGAGGUUUUUGUGCUUAUAUUGUCAUGAGUCAAAAUGUGAUAUCAGGCUCCCUGCAUUUUGUUUUAUUUUAUAUGUAUAGAGAUUUGGUUUUAAAAUGAUGUUAAGAGAUGUUUUAAAUAUAAAAUUGUUAGUGUUAGUAUAUAAAAAUGUUAAUUAAGAGUUAAAAUAGAAUUAAUAUGCAAAGCUCUACAUGUUUAAAGAAGCUGACAAUAAAAACUGCCAUGUUAUUUACAAGUUGCUGUAAAGCAUGUAGUCCAAGAAACACUGAAUGGUGUGUGUGUAAAAGUGCAUUUAAAGUGCGAGUAACCAGCAUGUUAAUCUGGAAAGUGAUGUAGAGAUGUGAAAAUGGUGUUGUAACAGAAUGUUUAUUUUUGGAGUUUGUGUGGUUUGUCAUGGUUUAAAGACACUCCAAUAUGUCCAAGAGGACAGUGAAUAUGGACAGUGAAAUAAACUGGAUAAAUGGACAGUGUUUACAGUGCAGUGAAUAACAUGUCAAUAAAGAUAACUGAGAAAGAUUUAAUGAA